UCAACAAAGUCUCACUAACUCUCUAUUUUCUUAAUCCUCCAUUAAAAACCCAAAAAAUUCACAACGAGAACGGAGAAAACGAAGGAGAAGAGAUCUACAGAAACCGAAGGAAAAAACUGUUGGGAAAAAGGUUCAUAUUCCAUUCUGAAGUCAUGUCGCUCGAUUAUUACAUUUGUCUCCUGCACAGUUCAAUAGAUCCUUUGUUGCAGCACAAAACAUCUUAGUAGAAGAGCAAAUAUAAAGGAAGGACUAAUAAAAGAUUAUUCACGCAUGAUAAAAAGGGCCGAAGAGAUGAUUGCGGAACAGUCAGAGUUGGCUAUGAUUUCUACCUUCCCAAGCAAGAACGGCAAGAUUGUUUUGGUAUAAUAUGAUUAUGAAUUUUUGUGGUACUUUGAUAUGUAUACUUUGGAAAAUUAAUCAAAUAAAGUUACAACGCUAUUUUGAAUAA